rnacentral:rRNA from 1 species
UAGUAACUGCGAGUGAAGCGGGAAAAGCUCAAAUUUUAAAUCUGGUAGCCUUUGGUUAUCCGAGUUGUAAUCUAGAGAAGCGUUAUCCGCGCUGGACCGUGUAUAAGUCUCCUGGAAUGGAGCGUCAUAGAGGGUGAGAAUCCCGUCCUUGACACGGACUACCAGGGCUUUGUGAUGCGCUCUCAACGAGUCGAGUUGUUUGGGAAUGCAGCUCUAAAUGGGUGGUAAAUUCCAUCUAAAGCUAAAUAUUGGCGAGAGACCGAUAGCGARCAAGUACCGUGAGGGAAAGAUGAAAAGAACUUUGGAAAGAGAGUUAAACAGUACGUGAAAUUGUUGAAAGGGAAACGCUUGAAGUCAGUCGCGUUGGUUGGGGAUCAACCUUGCUUUUGCUUGGUGUACUUCCUGAUUAACGGGUCAGCAUCAAUUUUGACCAGUGGAAAAAGUUCGAGGGAAUGUGGCAUCUCCGGAUGUGUUAUAGCCCUUGUUCGUAUACAUUGGUUGGGAUUGAGGAACUCAGCACGCCGCAAGGCCGGGUUUUACCACGUUCGUGCUUAGGAUGCUGGCAUAAUGGCUUUAAUCGACCCGUCUUGAAACACGGACCAAGGAGUCUAACAUGCCUGCGAGUGUUUGGGUGGAAAACCCAAGCGCGUAAUGAAAGUGAAAGUUGGGAUCUCUGUCGUGGGGAGCACCGACGCCCGGACCAGACCUUCUGUGACGGAUCCGCGGUAGAGCAUGUAUGUUGGGACCCGAAAGAUGGUGAACUAUGCCUGAAUAGGGUGAAGCCA